ensembl:lncRNA
UCCAUAUAAAGGUAUUCCUCUCCUGACACAUGUCAGAGGAAGAGUGACAGCUGUCAGCUUUUAUUAAGCUUCUGUGUCCGUAUGGCUUGAGCUUUUGGCUUAGUCACUGCUGCUAUACAAUGCAUCCUGCAAUGCAUUUUUACUUUCACAUGGGCUAGUAAUAUUCUAUUCUAUUACAUUUUUACCUACAAGUAAGGUAGAGUUUUUUUUUGUGUGACUUUUUAAUUUCCUCUCACUUUCAUAAGACCUUAUAAGACUUAUCAAAGCAUUCACUCAUAGCAUUACAAAAAAUAAAAUACUUUUUGCACCACUCUCAUGUCGUAAGCUCUUAGAUGAUUAUUAUAGCAUUACAAAUAAAUAAAAAUAAAUAAUUUGAUCAAAUACAAUAUCUCAUGAUGCAAUUACAUUAAUAGCUGAGUAUUGUCUUCUAAGUCAGUCUUGAUAGCUUUUGUGCUGAAUGUAAAAUGUCAAAUGUAAAAAAUAUCAAAUGUAAAAAAGGCAGAAACAAAAAGCAAAUUCCAAUGAAAAAAAUAGACAUUUAUUUUCAAAAAAGCACAUCAUAAUCAUUCAUUUUACAAAAUACAAUGCAAUAAAAGAUUUCAACUCAUUUGUGAGAAUGUUCACCUCUUGAAGCCUCAGAUCACAAUUGAAUACUUCCAUUUACAAAACAUUCAUAUUGCUUUAGAAUAAUAGCACACCCUAUGCAGAGACGUUACUGUUAUCCCACAUCUCUUGAAUAUCACACACUGAUGUUAUACAUUCAGAUAAACCUUUACAGAUAGCAUUAAUUAAGUGGAGCAGCUAUGCUAAAAAGCUAAAAGUCUCCAUGUGCUUGUAUCGCCUGCAGUACGGUGAAACCAAGGUCCAUUUUUGCUCUUGAUGUUGGCAGUGUUUGAGUUGUCCCCAUCCCCCACACCCCCUCUCUCCACACCCUCAGCGUCUGCACUCACUGGAUCCCUCUGCCAACACCUCAGCCCUGACAAUCAGUGGCUACUGGACUAUAUAUGAAGGCCGACUGCUCUAGCAUGGAGCCAGGUAUGAUUCCCCAGCUGACAGUCUGCAUCACAUCUGAUGGCUGAGAAGCAAGAGCUCCCACACACACACACACACACACACACACACACACACACAGCUGUAUACCUCACGGAUCAUGACCAGCUACAAACAAAAACACUUUAGGAACGAUCAUGCAUGUGAGCGUUCACAAACACAGCCUGCACCUUCUUACACACACACACUGGUGAUUGGGUAAAAAUACAUCUCCUGGGAAUAACUCAGGAUAUUUUCCAUGAUUGUACAAUGACAAUUUUCGUUGAUCACAAGUGGACGAUGCUAAAUAGAGGUGUAAGCAGAGUCUAAAAUGUUAUAAUCUUGUCCACUUUUGCCCACUUCCAGAGGUAAUCAAAUCUUAACCAGAUUGCUUUUGUAAUGUAGAUGUUAAAUAUGUUCGAAUAGCCACAAAAGACCGCCCACUAAUCCAAUGCAUGGGACAUGUUGUGGGAAAAUACACCAGAACGAUCAAUUUUGUUCAAAAACACACAGAUUGUGACCAAAAAUUGUAGUUGCGUUCUUUAUUCUUUCAAUUUGUUUCUAUGUUUUGUUUAGUCAAUACUAUUCAUACAGAAUGUCUCAAGGAAAUCCACAAAGAAACAGUAACAGGAGACACAUUUGAAAUGCAUUUUAAUACCAGGUGGAACAGUAUUUGUGUUCGCUGACCACUUGUGAUCGGAUCACUGAAAACGCAUCUUAAUACCUGGUGGAAACAGGGCCUUUUCAAUUUCAGUUGAACCAAAAAACAUCAUUCCAGCUGUGGAUAAUGCUUUGUGUAGCCAUGUGGCACAAAACGACUGCGACUAUGUGAAUGAUUGUUGCCUAUUGUCUAUAUUGUUGUCCUUUUCAUCUAUGCCACCAACAUUUAUGCUUUCUUAUCUCCUUUCUCAACACGUUUAGUGCAGGAGAUACUCUCGUUUCCUCCCAUUAACCACUGACAGGCUGAGUCUAAAACAUGCAGGAAUUUAAUUAUAUUCAGUCGGCUCUCAUAACUGCGGUCUGGUUGCAGGGGGGGUUGAGGUGGAGGUAGGUUGCAUACAUCAGGUAUAAGUGUGUGUGUGUGUGUGUGUGUGUGUGUGUGUGUGUGGGUGGGUGGGUGCAAGAAGGAGGGAGUUUUGCUGACACCUCUGUUGCCCACUUUCACGCUAAUUAACACUUCUCAGAUAACGGGUGACGGCAGUCUACACGACAGGCUCAAGAGGACAUUUGCACAGACCUUUCGUCUCUGAACAAUCUGUUCAGAUAAAGGUGCGCCCGAUACUUGCGACAAACGUGUGUGGGGGAGUAUAACAUACACAUGCACAAAUACCUAACUGACAGCAACAAAUGCACACACAUGAAACAGAUCUCCAUCGAUGCCACCUCAUUAUACCUUCCCUGCUGGUCACCAUCUGUAGAAAGUCAUUCAGUAACUCUGUCCGGACCAGGAUAACACAGGACCAUGGCGGUGUGAUUCAUGUAACUGUCCGUUCUUCAUGAGAAUGCCUCACUGCCACUCUGCACUAUAAUAUCAUGUCUUUUUGAUGCUUUCCUCCACACUGAAUUCAAAGGAAGCCCAUCACUCUAUGACAGCCGAUGUCAGUCCAUGUAGCACAUUUCAACAUGAGAAUGUGUGUAAAAUUAGUGGUCUGCUAGAAUUUAUCCUACCUUGGCGGGUGGUUGAUCACCAUAAACGAGAAGCUCUGUGUUCUACGAGUUAACCUAUAUAAGCUUGUAAUUACAGUUUUAGUAUAAAUUUGCCAGAGUAAUGCGCAUGUGCCAUCAUGCGAGGCUUCUAUAUGUUUUUGUGCAUCUGUAUGGGGGUGAUAUACAAGGAGGAGGUAAGCAUUAAGAGUCAUUUCUAGCACUCCCGUCUCGGCAGUGCCAAGAGGACGCACGGAGAUGAAAGGUAAUGCAAAUGGAAGUGUCAUACAGCGAGUUCCAUUCCAGACAGCCACCUUUGAAAUAAUUAAGACAGUGGAAUGGAGUGAAGCCCAAGUGAGGAAUAGCAAUUCCUCCGAGUGACUCCUUCUAAAGACAGCAAGCAACCAGGCACAACACUGCUGCGCAAAUGUUACGACAGCAUUUCCAUUUAAAUGUUUGUUAAAUUCGCCAAAAGGGUAUUUUAAUGUUAAUUUGAUGAUCUCUGUCAAAGGGACAUCAUUUUAAAUUAAUUAUGACCUUUUCGCGAUAAUCGAGAUGGUUAUUAAAUGUAAUCACAUUCAACACAAUCAUACUGAAACAUGUCAAAACGCAUUAAACGCACAAGAAUCUGGCCUUCUUUUUAGCCUUAGCCAAGGGCCACAAUUCCACGUAGAGCAAAUAAAUAUUCAUCUAGAAUUUUCUAAUCGCACACGGCUAAAGAUGAAUACAAAGUGGGUGAAAUGCAGAGGAUUCCAUGCUGUGUUGGAAUAUGGUGCAUGAGUUGUGCCGGAUAAGUACAAGGCUUGCCACAAGCAAUUCGCAUAUGUAGCUGACAAUAGUGGGGCGGGUUUAUGCAUGCAAAUGGGUUCCUUGACAUGCACGUUGCAAGCGACGCCAGCUAAUUUCAUAAUUGGUGAGCGUGAUUAUGCGAACACGGUGGCGCCGUAUUGGAACAUGCGAGGUGGGCUUGUAAUCAAGCGCGUGCCAGCGGACAUUUUAGGUCUAUCCUUUUCGCAUGCUCACCACUGCUAAAUUCUUUAAGAUGGUGGCACCUUGAAGGAAAUGCUACUGCGCUGACAGAGCCCAGCCCACCUCCUCCUACCCAGAGUCUGCAAUGCGAUUCUAGGAAGAUUGUGGGGCACCCUUCGCCUACCCCACCUGCAUGAUAAAUUUUUAAUUCCCACGUCACACUAAUAAGCAUAUUAAGCUGAGAAUCUGGAGCUUCCGCAUAUAUGCAUGAGUCCGCAUGCAUUAAAUUUGCAUAGAAUCGAAUGAUUCAAAUGUAAGUAUGCUAACGUGCAGCACUUCACUAUGCAACAUUUCUGACAUGUAUGACAAAUGCUGCCUUUGGAUUGUAACCCAUGUUUUUUUAGAGACACAAAAAGGAAUCUCUACUCAUUUUCUAAGAAAUGAGUGGCACAACCCUAAUUACACUGAUUUCACCUGAACUGAUUAUUAUGAUCAAAAUACUUAUGUUUUUUCAGCAAACAAACUCGCUAUAUAGCCAUAUUUAAACUGCAUUAUUCACUCCUGAAAAUAGGUUCCUUCAAACAGAUUAUUUAAAAAUUGUUAAAUGUACAGAAAAAAAAUAUUUUGUUGUAAUUUAUGAACAACGUAAGCUUUAAAUUACAUUUUUUUGUAAUUAAUACUGUCAAGCUUUUCAUCAGCAUGACAUGCAUCAUUUAGGCUCUUUCAACUGAUCUGAGUUUUGAGGGGUAUUUGAGACAAAUUGACUUAUUUAUAGCUCUGAGAAUUUGGAUAAUCUAAAUUCAGCAGACAACAGACACGCUCAGUCACACCGCUGCGGUUAACGCCAGUAACACAUACGGUGUCACAACACGGCUAUUGCACAGAUUGCUUCUGACUUAGAGUAAAAACAAUGUUAUUCAAUCUUGUAUUUUUAUCAUGUCAUUAUAAUAUUACCAACUAUAUACAUUGCGAAAAUAUAUACUAUAUUGUAUAAUACACAAUGACAGAUUUUUAACAAAAUCAACAGUAGCUUUACACAAUAAAUCAAAUCAAGAAUACAGACAUUUAAAAAAAAACUUACUGAACUGAUUUUGAAGUGUUCAGGUCAAGACUGAACUACCUAAAUGCAGGACUGAGCUGUGACAAUUUAACCAUUGCAAUUUGUGAGAAUUUUCUCAUGUUACUAAGGGUUAUAUAUCAUAUUAAAUGAAAAUAUUUUGACUUUUUUGCAAUCACUGUACUGCUUCUAAAUCUUGACACUGAGGUUAAUUUGCUCCAUGAAUCACGCUGCAGGGUUGUUCUAUUUGAACUAUUUGAACAUUUUGGCGCUAGACCUGCCUGCUUCUUUGGGAUGUCAAUGAGCUGUGUAUUGUGAGAAACCAGAUUGUUGCUGAAACACUGAUAUACACAAUUACACACACAACCAUGACAAAUCUUAAUGCAAACAUGCACAGAUACAUGUAAGUGGGUUCUUAAUACGCUCACAGAUCCACGCCCACACAAGUACAUACAUACAUGCAUAGAGAAUCUUCCACUUACUAACACACACAAACACACACACAUAUGGAACCUGUCCUGCUUUUGCACAUUGCCGUCAUACGCAUGUUAGAUCACAUCUUGUUGCCACAGCGACUCCAACCAGUGGGAACAACACUGUACAUGUGACCUGGUCGAGAAGGGGCGGGUCUACAGGAUGCUCUGUGCCAACAUGUAUCUGCUUGUUUAACAUCACAACACAUUUUAUGGCACUUUAUUGAGUUAGAUUGUAGGAAGUAAACUUAAACAUUCAUGUAAGCUUCCUAAAUCUAAAAUUGCUUCUUAUGAAAUCAGUGGGAUAUAGAUGAGAAAGAGAAAAAAAAUACUGUACUUAUCUCAUCACAACACUGUAAAAAGUAUCAAUAUGCCGCAAGUGAUUAACUAAAUGCCACUUUAUGCACGAAGCAAAAAUUUUAUUUUGUGGGGCAUACAAUCUGAAAGUAAACCUAAAUGUUCUACAAGCAUAACCUUUUUCUGUUUCUGCUCCACAUCUGUGGAACGCUCUUCCUUCAGUGAUUAGACACUCUCCAACACUGGACUGUUUUAAAAAGUCUUUAAAGACUCCUCUUUUUAAAGCUGUUUAUUGUAAUUGAGUGUACUUUGUUAUUACUGUAUUGUCAUUAUUGUUAUUAUUUUAUUGUGUUGUAGUACUUUGGGUUUCAGAAAGACGCAUUAAAAAUAAUAUGCAUUAUUAUUAUUAUUAUUAUUAUUAUUAUUAAUAACCAUAAGCUUUCUCAUCAUAAAAUGAGAUAUACAAA